rfam:Triticum aestivum genome assembly, contig: Triticum_aestivum_CS42_TGACv1_scaffold_405559_5BL
AUUCUACUCCCUCCGUUGCACAAUGCAUGCCUUCUAUUUGUCAAAAUAUAUAUGUAUCUAGACAUUUUUUUAGUAUAUAGGUACAUCCAUUUUUGGACAAAUGGAAGUCAAGUAUUUUGGAACGGAGGGAAUACACA